UACAUCGUAUCUUGUGCUUUCGUC
rnacentral:siRNA from 1 species